rnacentral:rRNA from 1 species
UACGUAGGUGGCAAGCGUUGUCCGGAAUUAUUGGGCGUAAAGCGCGCGCAGGCGGUCCUUUAAGUCUGAUGUGAAAGCCCACGGCUCAACCGUGGAGGGUCAUUGGAAACUGGGGGACUUGAGUGCAGGAGAGAAGAGUGGAAUUCCACGUGUAGCGGUGAAAUGCGCAGAUAUCAGGAAGAACACCCGUGGCUAAGGCGGCUCCUCUAGUACGGUACUGACGCUGAGACGCGAAACGUGGGGAGCGAACAGG